GGGUGACUAGCUCAAGUGGUAGAGUGCUUGCUUUGGGUGCAAGAAGCUGGGGGUUCAAGUCCCUCGUCGCCCU
rnacentral:tRNA from 1 species